rnacentral:rRNA from 1 species
AGCAGCCGCCGCGGGAAUACGAAGGGGGCUAGCGUUGUUCGGAAUUACUGGGCGUAAAGCGCACGUAGGCGGAUAUUUAAGUCAGGGGUGAAAUCCCGCAGCUCAACUGCGGAACUGCCUUUGAUACUGGGUAUCUUGAGUAUGGAAGAGGUUAGUGGAAUUGCGAGUGUAGAGGUGAAAUUCGUAGAUAUUCGCAGGAACACCAGUGGCGAAGGCGGCUAACUGGUCCAUAACUGACGCUGAGGUGCGAAAGCGUGGGGAGCAAACAGGAUUAGAUACCCCUGUAGUCCCUGUCUCUUAUAC